AUGCACGCUAGCUACAGGCUUAACCCAUGCAAGUCGCGGGGCAGCAUGGUCUUAGCUUGCUAAGGCCGAUGGCGACCGGCGCACGGGUGAGUAACACGUAUCCAACCUGCCGUCUACUCUUGGACAGCCUUCUGAAAGGAAGAUUAAUACAAGAUGGCAUCAUGAGUCCGCAUGUUCACAUGAUUAAAGGUAUUCCGGUAGACGAUGGGGAUGCGUUCCAUUAGAUAGUAGGCGGGGUAACGGCCCACCUAGUCUUCGAUGGAUAGGGGUUCUGAGAGGAAGGUCCCCCACAUUGGAACUGAGACACGGUCCAAACUCCUACGGGAGGCAGCAGUGAGGAAUAUUGGUCAAUGGGCGCAGGCCUGAACCAGCCAAGUAGCGUGAAGGAUGACUGCCCUAUGGGUUGUAAACUUCUUUUAUAAAGGAAUAAAGUCGGGUAUGUAUACCCGUUUGCAUGUACUUUAUGAAUAAGGAUCGGCUAACUCCGU
rnacentral:rRNA from 1 species